UAGGUAUAGGGGUGAAAAGCCAAUCGAACCAGGAGAUAGCUCGUUCUCUCCGAAAUGCAUUUAGGUGCAGCCUUGAUUGUUUAAAUAUGGGGGUAGAGCACUGAAUGGUCUAGCGGGCAUAUUGCUUAGCGAAAUCAAUCAAACUCCGAAUACCAUAUUUCAAGAGAUCAGGAGUGAGACUAUGGGUACUAAGAUCCAUGGUCAAAAGGGAAACAGCCCAGACCACCAACUAAGGUCCCAAAUUAUAUCUAAGUGGGAAAGGAGGUGGAGAUUCUGAAACAACCAGGAUGUUGGCUUAGAAGCAGCCAUACAUUUAAAGAGUGCGUAAUAGCUCACUGGUCGAGAGUCUCUGCGCCGACAAUGUAACGGGGCUAAGAUAUAAACCGAAGUUGUGGAGUAUACACGAUGUGUAGACUGGUAGGAGAGCGUUCCGUAGGCCGUUGAAGGAUAAGGGGUGACCCAAUCUGGAGGUAUCGGAAGUGAGAAUGCAGGAAUGAGUAGCGAGAAAGAGGGUGAGAAUCCCUCUCGCCGGAAAACCAAGGUUUCCAGAGUAAAGCUUGUCUUCUCUGGGUAAGCCGGGACCUAAGCCGAGGCUAGAUUGCGUAGGCGAAUGGAAAGCAGUUUAAUAUUACUGCGCCACUAUAAUUUGUUUGAGAGAUGGAGGGACGCAGAAGGGUAUGUACGCAGACUGUUGGAUAUGUCUGUAUAAGCAUGUAGGAUGGAACCGCAGGAAAAUCCACGGUUUUAGAUCUGAGGUGUGAUGUAUAUUGCUUGUAAUGAGCGAGAAUGUACAAAUCCCACGCUGCCGAGAAAAGCUUCUAUUGAGAAUUAUAGUGCCCGUACCGUAAACCGACACAGGUGGUUAGGAUGAGAAAUCUAAGGCGUACAGGCUAACUCUCGCUAAGGAACUCUGCAAAAUGGCCCCGUAACUUCGGGAGAAGGGGUGCCAUUAAAGGUGAUAAGUACAAGCGACUUUGAGCCCUUGAUGGCCGCAGUGAAGAGAUUCGAGCAACUGUUUAGCAAAAACACAGGUCUAUGCUAAGCUGAAAGGCGACGUAUAUGGGCUGACACCUGCCCAGUGCCGGAAGGUUAAGAGGAGGGUUCAGCGACUCAAAUUGAAGCCCCGGUGAACGGCGGCCGUAACUAUAACGGUCCUAAGGUAGCGAAAUUCCUUGUCGGGUAAG
rnacentral:rRNA from 1 species